rnacentral:rRNA from 1 species
ACGGUCCUAAGGUAGCGAAAUUCCUUGUCGGGUAAGUUCCGACCCGCACGAAAGGUGUAACGAUUUGGGCACUGUCUCAACAAAGGAUCCGGUGAAAUUGUAGUAGUCGUGAAGAUGCGACUUACCCACGCUAGGACGGAAAGACCCCGUGGAGCUUUACUGUAGGCUGAUAUUGGACUUUGAGAUUAGACGUACAGGAUAGUUGGGAGACAAUGAAACACGCACGCCAGUGUAUGUGGAGUCAUCCUUGGGAUACCAACCCUCUAAUAUUAAAGUUCUAACGAUGACCCUUGAAUCAGGGCAUCGGACAUUGUCAGUUGGGCAGUUUGACUGGGGCGGUCGCCUCCCAAAAAGUAACGGAGGCGUUCAAAGGUUCGCUCAGAAUGGACGGAAACCAUUCGCAGAGUACAAAGGCAGAAGCGAGCUUAACUGCAAAACCUACAAGUUGCGCAGAGUAGAAAUACGGACUUAGUGAUCCGGUGGCACCGCAUGGAAGGGCCAUCGCUCAACGGAUAAAAGCUACCCCGGGGAUAACAGGCUUAUCUCCCCCAAGAGUCCACAUCGACGGGGAGGUUUGGCACCUCGAUGUCGGCUCGUCUCAUCCUGGGGCUGAAGUAGGUCCCAAGGGUUGGGCUGUUCGCCCAUUAAAGAGGCACGCGAGCUGGGUUCAGAACGUCGUGAGACAGUUCGGUCCCUAUCCAGCGUGGGCGUAAGAAAUUUGAGAGGAUCUGUCCCUAGUACGAGAGGACCGGGAUGGACACACCUCUGGUGUACCAGUUGUUCCGCCAGGAGCAUAGCUGGGUAGCUACGUGUGGAAUUGAUAAGUACUGAAAGCAUCUAAGUACGAAGCAGGCCUCAAGAUAAGAUUUCUCAGAGUAGGUAAAGAAAAUACCUUUGAUAGGUCCAAGGUGUAAGUGCAGUAAUGUAUUAAGCUAAUGGAUACUAAACUUUAUGUCUUGACUGG